rnacentral:rRNA from 1 species
UACGGAGGGGACUAGCGUUGUUCGGAAUUACUGGGCGUAAAGCGCACGUAGGCGGAUUUGUAAGUCCAGGGGUGAAAAGUCCCGGGGCUCAACCUCGGAACUGCCUUUGAUACUGCAAAUCUCGAGUCCGGAAGAGGUGAGUGGAAUUCCUAGUGUAGAGGUGAAAUUCGUAGAUAUUAGGAAGAACACCAGUGGCGAAGGCGGCUCACUGGUCCGGUACUGACGCUGAGGUGCGAAAGCGAUGGGGA